rnacentral:tRNA from 1 species
GGCAUUAUAGCCUAGUGGUAUCUUGGUGGUAUGCUAAGAUUUAUGAUCAUUAGGUCAUGGGUUCAAUUCCCAGAAAUGGGG